rnacentral:rRNA from 1 species
UACGUAGGGGGGCAAGCGUUGUCCGGAAUCAUUGGGCGUAAAGAGCGUGUAGGCGGUUCAGUAAGUCUGCUGUGAAAGUCCAGGGCUCAACCCUGGGAUGCCGGUGGAUACUGUCGGGCUAGAGUGCGGAAGAGGCGAGUGGAAUUCCUGGUGUAGCGGUGAAGUGCGCAGAUAUCAGGAGGAACACCUAUUGCGAAGGCAGCUCGCUGGGACGUAACUGACGCUGGAGACGCGAAAGCGUGGGGAGCAAACAGG